rnacentral:rRNA from 1 species
AGUGAACGCUGGCGGUAGGCCUAACACAUGCAAGUCGAACGGCAGCACAGUAAGAGCUUGCUCUUACGGGUGGCGAGUGGCGGACGGGUGAGGAAUACAUCGGAAUCUACUUUUUCGUGGGGGAUAACGUAGGGAAACUUACGCUAAUACCGCAUACGACCUACGGGUGAAAGCAGGGGAUCUUCGGACCUUGCGCGAUUGAAUGAGCCGAUGUCGGAUUGGCUAGUUGGCGGGGUAAAGGCCCACCAAGGCGACGAUCCGUAGCUGGUCUGAGAGGAUGAUCAGCCACACUGGAACUGAGACACGGUCCAGACUCCUACGGGAGGCAGCAGUGGGGAAUAUUGGACAAUGGGCGCGAGCCUGAUCCAGCCAUACCGCGUGGGUGAAGAAGGCCUUCGGGUUGUAAAGCCCUUUUGUUGGGAGAGAAAAGCAGCAGGUUAAUACCCCGCUGUUCUGACGGUACCCAAAGAAUAAGCACCGGCUAACUUCGUG